GAUGAAGAACGCAGCGAAAUGCGAUAAGUAAUGUGAAUUGCAGAAUUCAGUGAAUCAUCGAAUCUUUGAACGCACAUUGCGCCCCCUGGUAUUCCGGGGGGCAUGCCUGUUCGAGCGUCAUUUCACCACUCAAGCCUCGCUUGGUAUUGGGCAACGCGGUCCGCCGCGUGCCUCAAAUCGACCGGCUGGGUCUUCUGUCCCCUAAGCGUUGUGGAAACUAUUCGCUAAAGGGUGUUCGGGAGGCUACGCCGUAGAACAACCCCAUUUCUAAGGUUGACCUCGGAUCAGGUAGGGAUACCCGCUGAACUUAAGCAUAUCAAUAAGCGGAGGA
rnacentral:misc_RNA from 1 species